rnacentral:rRNA from 1 species
AGAGAGAGACAUGCGCGCAUAUCAAUAAGCGGAGGAAAAGAAACUAACUAAGGAUUCCCUCAGUAACGGCGAGUGAAGCGGGAAGAGCUCAAAUUUGAAAUCUUCAAGGGUUCUACCUUUACGAAUUGUAGUUUAAAGAAGUGUUUUCUGUUGAGGUUUUGGUAAAAGUUCUUUGGAAUAGGACAUCAUAGAGGGUGAGAAUCCCGUAUUUGACCAUUACUUUCCAACUUUGUGAUACACUUUCAAAGAGUCGGAUUGUUUGGGAAUGCAGUCCAAAAUGGGUGGUAAAUUUCAUCUAAAGCUAAAUAUUGGCGAGAGACCGAUAGCGAACAAGUACCGUGAGGGAAAGAUGAAAAGAACUUUGAAAAGAGAGUUAAACAGUACGUGAAAUUGUCAAAAGGGAAGCGUUUGACACCAGUGUUGUUUUCUCGAAAAUCAAUUAAAAAAGGCAGGAUUUUGUGUUGUAUUGACUUUAUCAGCUUUCUGCACUCUUUUCUUGUCUUUUUUAAUGCACUUUUCGUUUAACAAGUCAACAUCAAUUUCUUUUGUUGUAAAAGGGUCAUUGGAAGGUGGCUUUCUUUUCGGAGAAAGUGUUUAUAGCCUUUGGCCUCUGCAAUCGGAGAGAUUGAGGUCUGCAGCGUAGAUCCUUCGGGGUUAGAUACAUUUGUGCUAAGUUAUAGCCUUUCAUAGACAACUUGUUGACUAUGAUCAGUCAUGUAGCUUACUCGCUUAUGCUAUUUUACCUACGCUUAGGAUGUUGAUGUGAUACUGCGAGCA